GGAUAAUAUUAACAGGAGAUAUGAAUGAAAGAAUUGAACCAUGAUAAAACGCGACAUGCACUACAAAUUGAAGGUAUGAAAUUAAGUUAAAUGGAAGCUCGUUUAUUCACCAUAUGAUGCUCGUUAUGAGGUAAUCAUAUAGGCUAGAUACCGUGAGUUAACGAGGUCGUUUACAUGCACGUGAGUGCACGGAUAUCGGUUAAUUAUUCAAAUUACUGAAAAACACGGAGAAAACCGCAACCGCAUUGCCAUGUGUUUUUCCAAGAUGUAUGCAAACAGGGGAAAUAUCACCAAACCAACAAUUCAUUUUACCAAAACCUCACUAUAUAUCAUCAUUUGUAUGCACAGAUUGCUGGAUUGGAUGCAUUGUGUGUUGUAAGCUUUUCGUGGCGCUAGAUGUCAGACAGAUGCAAAUGGCAAAUACAUACGAAAGUGUAAAACGUGUAUGGCGAACAUUUGUUUUUCUGUCAUUAUAGAUGCUAGUUUGGUAAAAGUACACAUUGAGUGCUUCAAAUAAUUCAGAAGAGAUGCUGUUUUUAAGGGCAGUUUAUUAAAGAAGACCUGACAUGGAUGACUUCCAAUGAGAAACGACUGCUAAUACUUAUAUAAAUUCAUUACAGAAGGACCCUACCAGACUAUAUUUGAAUACGGCAUACCCAUGAAUUCUGGAACUGUUAUUCCUUAACCCAGUUUGGAGGAUAAGAGCUUACCAACUAGUUAUAAAUAUGCUGAGGCGAUGUAUUGCAAAAUAGCCAACAUACAACAAUUAAAGGAUAAUUGCAGACUACAUCCUGAUGAAGAUAUGGAUGACCCUCUGUCUGGUCAACAGGAGUUUAAAUAUGGACGGGACAGUUAUGUGGCAGCUCUUCCCUGACUCAUUCACCUCUUGCCUUCAUUUGUGAAAGGAAGAAAGACUGGAGAGGGUCAAUGUGCAACUGAAGCUACUGAUUGUGCUGUGUGAUGAGCAUCAAUCCAUGCUUUGAGGUGGAUGGAUCAGCACAGCCCUGCCUGCUCUGCGUUGGGAACAGAAGUUUUUGCAUCAUUCUGGACCAAAAAGCCAUUCCCUGCAUGAUGAAGACCACUGAUGCAGCCUUCCACUACAUCAUGAGUAAAACAACUACAGAACUAAAUACCAUGUUGGAACGUAUUUAAGAAAAAUGAAAAGUCUUUUGAAUUGAAAUGUCUGUUUUGUUAUGGAAAAAUCUUUAGUAUUGUGAAGGAUAAGCAUUUCUGCCUGCCAGUAAGGUAAUUGCAGUGUAUUUUAAUAGUCAAGUUUUGAGUAGGGUGGCUAAUUUUUUUUAACUCUUCCAUACUGUAUUCUGUUUCUAAUUGUAGCUGAGGUAUUUAAAUAAGCAGUGUUAAAUGCAAAGUGUUGUGUGUAUCAAUGUAAAUAUUAAAUUUUAAUAAAAAGAGGUUUUGCAAUAUUUCUUGUCAUUUGUCUUUUAUAGAAACAACCCAUUAGCAAAAAAAGUGGCUAUUAAUCAGUAUUUUAACACUUAACAUUGUUGAAUUCACAUUACACUGGUGUUGACCUUAAAUUAGGAGUGUUAAUUUUUAACACUGUAUUUCUGUGCCAACACCAGUGUAGUGUGGAAACAACAAUGAAUAGUGUUGAACAAAGUGUAAAAUUUAACAAUAUUGAGUGUUGAAUUAACAUAUAAUGGGUGUUGUUAAAUUAACACUACACUUUUGACUAAAUUAACACAGUGUAGUGUGGACACAUAUACACAC